rnacentral:tRNA from 1 species
AAAAAUUUAGUUAAUCUAAUAACAUUAGUAUGUCAAACUAAAAUAAAUUAUAAAAUAUUAAUUUUUA